rnacentral:rRNA from 1 species
CGAAGAACCUUACCUGGGGCUUGACAUGUACGUAGUAGUGAAGCGAAAGUGGAACGACCCUUCGGGGAGCGUACACAGGUGCUGCAUGGCUGUCGUCAGCUCGUGUCGUGAGAUGUUGGGUUAAGUCCCGCAACGAGCGCAACCCUCGUCGCUAGUUACAAGUGUCUAGCGAGACUGCCGGUAUCAAGCUGGAGGAAGGUGGGGAUGACGUCAAGUCAGCAUGGCCUUUAUGUCCAGGGCGACACACACGCUACAAUGGGCGGUACAACGGGAAGCGAAAGGGCGACCUGAAGCGAAUCCCAUCAAAGCCGUUCGUAGUACAGAUUGCAGGCUGCAA